rnacentral:lncRNA from 1 species
AUUGAUGAAUUUAUAGCUUUGCUUCUAAUGAAAUAUAACAUUAAUACAGUAGACAUAGUUCAUGUCUACUAGUUACUUUGAUAGUUGAACUAGGAGUUGAAGAGCAACAAUGUGUCAUUAGCAAUGAAAUUUUCUAAUUGUGCUAAAAUGGCCCCAAGACCAAAAGGGGAGGCAUUAGUUGACAAAACUAGCGACAGAGACGGGGCAUAAUGAGCAAGAACAGGUGAGUUAGCUAUAGCAGACUUUAUAUUUCGAAAACUCACCUUUCUUUUUUCAACCACGAGAAAACCACCUCCGUCUUCGUCAACUCGAGAACGGGAUACGCGUCCACUGAUAGAUGUGGUACAAGAUGGCCAUAGUAUUGUACGAGGCCCAAGAACGAUUUCACCCCAGUACACGAUGCCGGAACCGGGAAGUCCAGAACCAGUUGAAUUAACUCUGGAUCCAAGGAUCGGCCACUUUGAGAUAUACAUAACCCGAAAUAAUUUAACUCAUCGUCCAUCAAGAUACACUUGUAGGGCUUCAGACAACCCCCAGCAUUCAUGAUUCGACUGAACACUUCAUUUAAAAUUCGACAAUGUUCCUCCUUACUUUAGUAUAUGACUCUUCAUACCCCGAAUACCUCUCAAUAGCUUCCCUUGAGCUGUCUAUAGAAUAGCAGGAGCCGAGGCAAGACCAUAAGGUAAGACAUUAUAUCUAUAAAGUCCUAACUGAGUAUUUAUAACCAAAACUCCUUUGAUUUUUCUUCCAACUCAAAUUACUUGUAACAUCUUGCGAAAUCCAAUUUUGAGAAGAACCGGGCUUAUGGAAGGUCUACAAACACCUCAUCUGGAUGAGGUAGCGGGUGCAACAUCUUGCUCAUUACUGGCCAGAUAGUUUGGGUAAAGUCGGGAAAAUCCGAACACUUCCAUCUGGCUUGAGGACCGAAACAAUUGCAGAGGCCUACUCUGAAGAAUUAAUCUUGGAAAUGAAACUUCUCUCGGAAUUCCAAAGAAUCAAGUACAAUGCAUGCGUUAGUAAGAUUGAGUAGCAUAACGAAACCCAAGUUCAAGUAAUCCUAAAAACCUAGGAUGGGCUGCCCAACAGGAGACACAAUAAACUUACGACGAACCGGGGUAGAGCCAUUCAAUGUAAUAGACAACCUGAUAGAGCCAAGAGUAUUGACUUCUCAACCAACAAAGACCUCUAUUGAGCCCUAUUGAAUUCUUGACCCCUUUUGACAUGGCCACUAGAUAUUUACGUUUGAAACAAGGUCGAUAAAAAAUUUAAUUUGUCUCCCAUUUAUCAUGAGGAAGGGAUAAGAUCUAUUCUCUCCUCCAUCGUUUAACUAGAAUGGAAUAGAUAAACUUCAGGUCGCAGAUGACGGACAGCAUAACCUCAAAUGGAUCAGUUUUCCACACCGGGUAAACUCCUUACCAAACACAGGGCAUUUUGACUUCUGGAAGACAUGUUUUCUCCCACAAAAUUUGCAAUUUGCUCCGUCCACUUUUGGAUUAGCCUUGGACGUAGACCACAUCCCUUUGGAACGACAGGAUUUUUUGUGCCCUUAAUUUCCGAUGCCAUGACACUUUCACUCGAUCCAAUUUAUUUCGCGUGGCUGAUUGAGGUUGUCAACUUUGUGCAGCCUCUCUCGAAGAAAGUUUGGGAGAACCAUGGAGACGAAGUGUUCUUGACCAAGAAUAAUUUCGUCUUCGAAUGAGGCCUUACAGCUCAAACACGAGAAUCGACUAAACUUUGCCUGACUGCGCAACCAAGUUACGAGUAACAUAUGUUUUAAAUCCUGGUACUAUACACAACUAGAUGAAUAUGCCUAGCAAGCUGUGGAGGAUUUAUUAUUGCAGUAUUGAAUUCAAAUAAAUUUUUUUCAACUUUAACUCGCAGUUUGGAGUCUUUGAGCUCAUAAUUUUAGUUGAUUUUAAAGCUUUAUCUUCGAGUUAGUUAGAUUUAGUUACUCAUUUGUGGGCCUUUCGCAAAGUCAGUUGAAAAAUCAAAAAAAGGCGAAUGGGUGACGUUUGACACUACCCUGGCUUCUUGUAUUUUAAUUUCAUUUAUAUGGUGUUGUGAUAAACCGGUUUAAUUUAAAUGGAUAUUUAAUAAAGUUUAAUGCAUCAGUGAAGCUGAUACAACCUCUCAAAGAUGACAAAGGAUGAAAAUGUACUUUAGAAAAGAAUUUGCAUUGAUAUUGGUACGAUGUUUUAACCACCAGCCUAUCUUAAAUGAAGCUCUUACUUUAUAAUAUUGUUCAAUACUUUGAUGCCAUCAUACUGUUGAUUAGUUAUAUCAAUAUUAUCAGUGGUGAAUAUUAUUAUAUGUAUCCCUCCCCCCUCAGUAUGUUAAAAAAAGAAACCAAAAAUUAACAUGGUAGCCCUCAUAAUUUGCUGGUAUAUUUGAGAGUACAGCAGCUUAGCUGUCAUGACGUUUUAUUCUAUUGGCUGUGAGUAGCCCUGAGAGAGUUGGAAAGAAAGAAAACACAAAUCCUACUCCGUAUAUACACAGGAAGAAGUAAGAACAUACUCAUAGACAAAAAUUACUCUGAUGAAUAUCUUCAAUUUAAGUCUGAGUCCAACGAGUACCAACACCUAAUCCAAAACAAAUCCUCAAUUUUAGUCUGCUUCUUUCAUAAGCUGUUGUGUCUUGACGAGGUUGAGGAGACACAAACUAUUUAAAAGGGGAGAGAUCCAGGAUGACCGAGAGAAGUGAGGAGAAGGAAAGGCAUGGAGGAAUAAUACAACAGUUAUUUAUAAGAACAUCUGUAUUCUCAUUAAUACAAAAACCUACUCUAAUACAUACAUAAAAUACACAACUAUUUAUACUUAAAAUCAGGUAAAAGACUGUACUUUACAUAUAUAUAUACAAGAAAAUAAGAGAAGAGAAGAAGGGGGAAGGAAACACAAUACAUUACAUAAGCUCAUGCAAAUUUUCAAUCCGACUUCGUGUCGAUCAAUGGUGUAUAGGAUGAACGAUUUUGUCAAAUAAGAUGAAAACGACCCAGUCUGAAUCAUUGGUGUUUUUUCAUAUAAUGUUAAUGCUCUGAACUAAUGAAUGGAGAGAGCUGAUGGUAUGGAUCCAGAAACUGCUGUUUAUCUAACGAAUCCUAAGUGAUCGACACGUUUUUGUUAAAUAAUUUGCGUUGAUAUCACUGAUCAUGCAGAUUACGUAGUUAUGCAGAUGAUAUCCUUCUCUUAAUAGAUAGUAAACAUUCUAGUACACGUGUCAUUGGGAUGCAGGAUGCUGUAAAUUUUGUUCUAGAAUGGGAGAAAACAAAUGGUUUCACCUUUCAUCCAUCAAAACACAAAUGAAGUACCUACGUGUGGUGCUUGAUCAAGUACUCACUUGGACCGAACACCCGAAAAAAAAAAGCUGCAAAGUAUUUCCAUAUGUGAAACAUGGCAAAGGCCGUCAUUGGGCAAAAGGGGGGAGUUGUCCCCAGAUAAAGUUCUCUGCCUCUACAAAGUCAUGAUCAGACCCAUCACACCAAUGGGUGUCUUGUAUGGGGGCACACCGUUAUUACAAAGAAAGGUAGAAUAAGGAAAUUAACCACCAUUCAGAGUAAGGCACUCUCAGGCAUGACUCAUACCCACCGAUCAACACUAACAAUAGGAAUAGAGGCAGCGUUAGCCUUCACUUCCCUCCACCUGUACAUAGAAGCGCAAGCAACGAAGUCUAGAAGGAGAGCAAGGCAUUUUCUCCAGGGCACCCGGGAUUGUGUCACUGAUCUUCCAAGGAGUUGUGGGCAUAAUUUCCUUUGGGAUAAAAUAGAUGAUCAAGUUGAAUUGAAUAAAAUAAGUGACUAUAUCACUGGCAAUCGUAUCUGGGUCAACAACCGUCAAGUUCAACACCCUAAUACAAUUUUAUAUACAGAUGGAUCCAAAGAUGAGAAAGGCAACACAGGUGUGGGAUGAGCUAUCACUCAAGGUGGCAUGUCAAUUCAUCAAUGAUCAGUAUAAUUAAAUAACGAAGCAUCAGUCUUCCAAGUAGAAAUCAUCACCAUCACCCAAUAAGUGGUAGCUCUUCUUAACCAAGACAAGCCAUCAAAAAAGUAAUAAUUCGAUCAGAUCCUCAAUUGACAAUUGCUGCUAUUCUGAGCCCGUUUACAAAAAGUGAUACAGUAUAGAAGUAUCAGGAAAUAUCAAACAUCGAAAAAUGUGAAAUAAACAUUUAUUUGGAUUCGUGCAAAGGCCAUUCAGAUAUUUCCGGAAACGAAUUUGCAGACAAUCUUGCAAAGAGUGAUGAAGAAGCGCCAGAAUCUCCGGAAGCUCAGGUGGGGAGGUCUUAUGCAUCCACCCUACAGUCCAAACAUGGCACCAAGUGACUAUCACCUGUUUCUGUCUAUGGCCAACAGGCUUGGGAGUAUAAAUUUGGCCUCAAUAGAAAAAUGGAAAAUUGGUUGUCAAAGUUUUUUGUUCAUUGGGACAAGGGCUUUUACGAGAAGAUCAUUUUGAAGUUAGAUUUACAGAUUUUAUAUGAACCAGUAAAACCUUAAAACAUUUGUACAUAUUAGAGUAUACAUUAAGGCAUAAACAAUUAAUAACAAAACAAAACAAAGCUGAGACCUCUAGCUUACGUACAUGUCGAGAGAUUUGAACGUGAUCAACAAAUUUCCAUUCACCUAGUCCUUGACGCAGGAAAAACUCUGACAGAGAUAUCCAAUGAGUGUGGCGUCUCCAGGACCAUCAUCUACGGCGUAAGCAGAUCCAAACUUUGGAAAGGAAGAAUAGCCUUGACAAAAAGGAUAAACUUGACCUGGAGGAGUUAAAGUAAACAACUCAGGGCAAUCCUCUCGAGUCCAAAAGGGCCCAUGCUAGAGACCCCGGAGUUUCACACCAAACUGUCCAUAUAUAUAUUAAAACAGUGGAUGGAAAGAACAUUGUGAGGGUGGAAGGGCCACUUUUGACAUCCGCAAUGAAGGAAACCAAGCCUCUUUUGAACUCUUUUUUGACACUUUUGACUCCCCUACAGCCCUGAUGCCGCCACCCUGGACUACACCUUUUGAGUGCAAGUCGAGUUAAAGGACUGUAGUGUCCGUUAUCCAAACACCGGGGCCCUCAAAGGUGAUGUCAACCAGGACUGGGACCACAUUGCAGAAAACUACAUCUACAGUGGAUGCCAGGCCUUCUGCCGCUACCUGGAAUCCAUGAUUGCCGCUGUUUUGUGGAAGUUAUAUUCUCAAUUAAGGAAUUAUAUCUUGUUGAAGUUUAAAAUUCAAUGUGUUCAGAUUUUAAUGGACCACUCGGUACACGGAUUGUAAAACAAAUUUAUUCAUCAGACCAAGGAAAACUAAGGAUCUCAUUAACAAGAUUAAAAAGCAAAAAGAUGACACAAUAAGUGCCUAGAGAGGAAGCCUGGAAGUGGAUGGAAGGACGACAGACUUCCUAGACCAGUGGUUCCCAACCUUUCAAAUAUAGCUGCCCAUUUUAGACCAAGCAAUCAGGAAGUGACUCCAAUCCUUAAAAUGUCUUAAACACAUUUUUUUUUCUAUAACAAACGGUCAUAUAUUGCGAUUUAUUCUUGAAGUAACUGUACAUUCCGUAAAUAUAUGAUUAAUUUAAAAUUUAUUCAUACAAAA